rnacentral:rRNA from 1 species
GACGAACGCUGGCGGCGUGCCUAAUACAUGCAAGUCGAGCGAAGUUUUUCUGGUGCUUGCACUAGAAAAACUUAGCGGCGAACGGGCGAGUAACACGUAAAGAACCUGCCUCAUAGACUGGGACAACUAUUGGAAACGAUAGCUAAUACCGGAUAACAGUAUUUCUCGCAUGAGAGAUAUUUAAAAGUUGGUUAUGCUAACACUAUGAGAUGGCUUUGCGGUGCAUUAGCUAGUUGGUGGGGUAAAGGCCCACCAAGGCGACGAUGCAUAGCCGACCUGAGAGGGUGAUCGGCCACACUGGGACUGAGACACGGCCCAGACUCCUACGGGAGGCAGCAGUAGGGAAUCUUCCGCAAUGGGCGAAAGCCUGACGGAGCAACGCCGCGUGAGUGAAGAAGGAUUUCGGUUCGUAAAGCUCUGUUGUUAGGGAAGAAUGGAUAUGUAGUAACUAUACAUGUAAGAGACGGUACCUAACCAGAAAGCCACGGCUAACUACGUG